AUUGAACGCUGGCGCCAUGCUUUACACAUGCAAGUCGAACGGCAGCGCUGGCUUCGGCCUGGCGGCGAGUGGCGAACGGGUGAGUAAUGCAUCGGAACGUGCCCAUUAGUGUGGGAUAGCCCGGCGAAAGCCGGAUUAAUACCGCAUACGACCUGCGGGUGACAGCGGGGGACCGAAAGGCCUCGCGCUAUUGGAGCGUCCGAUGUCGGAUUAGCCAGUCGGUGGGGUAAAGGCUUACCAAGGCGCCGAUCCGUAGCUGGUCUGAGAAGACGACCAGCCACACUGGGACUGAGACACGGCCCAGACUCCUACGGGAGGCAGCAGUGGGGAAUUUUGGACAAUGGUGACAACCCUGAUCCAGCCAUGCCGCGUGCGGGAAGAAGGCCUUCGGGUUGUAAACCGCUUUUGUUCGGGAAGAAAUCCUCUGGGCUAAUACCCCGGGGGGAUGACGGUACCGGAAGAAUAAGCACCGGCUAACUACGUG
rnacentral:rRNA from 1 species